GUUUCCGUAGGUGAACCUGCGGAAGGAUCAUUACUGAGUGAGGGCCCCUCGGGGUCCAACCUCCCACCCGUGUUUAACGAACCUUGUUGCUUCGGCGGGCCCGCCUCACGGCCGCCGGGGGGCAUCUGCCCCCGGGCCCGCGCCCGCCGAAGCCACCUGUGAACGCUGUCUGAAGUAUGCAGUCUGAGACAAUUAUUAAAUUAAUUAAAACUUUCAACAACGGAUCUCUUGGUUCCG
rnacentral:misc_RNA from 1 species